rnacentral:rRNA from 1 species
UGGGGGAUAUUGCACAAUGGGGGGAACCCUGAUGCAGCGACGCCGCGUGGGCGAUGGAGCGCCUCGGCGCGUAAAGCCCUAUCAGCAGGGAAGAAAAUGACGGUACCUGACUAAGAAGCCCCGGCUAAAUACGUGCCAGCAGCCGCGGUAAUACGUAUGGGGCAAGCGUUAUCCGGAUUUACUGGGUGUAAAGGGAGCGCAGGCGGCCUGGCAAGCCUGAUGUGAAAUACCGGGGCCCAACCCCGGGGCUGCAUUGGGAACUGCCAGGCUGGAGUGCCGGAGAGGCAGGCGGAAUUCCUAGUGUAGCGGUGAAAUGCGUAGAUAUUAGGAGGAACACCAGUGGCGAAGGCGGCCUGCUGGACGGUGACUGACGCUGAGGCUCGAAAGCGUGGGGAGCAAACAGG